rnacentral:rRNA from 1 species
UACGUAGGGGGCAAGCGUUGUCCGGAUUUAUUGGGCGUAAAGAGCGUGUAGGCGGCCAGGUAGGUCCGCUGUGAAAACUCGAGGCUCAACCUCGAGACGCCGAUGGAAACCAUCUAACUAGAGUCCGGAAGAGGAGAAUGGAAUUCCUGGUGUAGCGGUGAAAUGCGCAGAUAUCAGGAAGAACACCCGUGGCUAAGGCGGUUCUCUAGUACGGUACUGACGCUGAGACGCGAAAGCGUGGGGAGCGAACAGG